rnacentral:rRNA from 1 species
CCUACGGGCGGCAGCAGUGGGGGAUAUUGCACAAUGGGGGAAACCCUGAUGCAGCGACGCCGCGUGGACGAAGAAGUAUUUCGGUAUGUAAAGUCCUAUCAGCAGGGAAGAAGAAAUGACGGUACCUGACUAAGAAGCCCCGGCUAACUACGUGCCAGCAGCCGCGGUAAUACGUAGGGGGCAAGCGUUAUCCGGAUUUACUGGGGGUAAAGGGAGCGCAGGCGGCAGCGCAAGUCUGAUGUGAAAGCCCGGGGCCCAACCGCGGGACUGCAUUGGAAACUGCGCAGCUGGAGUGCCGGAGGGGUAAGCGGAAUUCCUAGUGUAGCGGUGAAAUGCGUAGAUAUUAGGAGGAACACCAGUGGCGAAGGCGGCUUACUGGACGGCAACUGACGCUGAGGCUCGAAAGCGUGGGGAGCAAACAGGAUUAGAUACCCCAGUAGUC